AUGGUUCAUAAGGCCUGUGCUGUUUACAUGGUGAUUCCCUUGAUCCUGUUGCUUUUCUUCUUCUCUGCCAACAGCGUUUCUGCCGGAGUUUCUUACAUUCCGAAAACCAAGAAAAGGAAUCAGCAUGUGAUUAUGGAGAUUAUUCAAGGAAGGAAAAUAGGCGUACCAGUACCUACUACACCUGGAGCAAGCCAUGGUAGCGGAGGAUGAUGUAUCUCACUUCUUGGAGUUGGUACAAGGCACUUUUGCCGGCCAGUGAUCCCAUAAAUCUUAAUGCAUUAUCAGUUUCUAUUUUCGGUUGUGAGAUCUAGUCCGUCAGAACGUAAAUUAGAGCUACCAUUUUGCAUGUAAUAUAUUGGUAAUUAAGUUACAACAUUAGCAUGUUGCAUGUAAUAUGCAAUACCUGUAGUAUUUUAUUAGUGACAGUAAUUAUAAGUAUGAAAAGAUUGAAAUAUGCGGUGUCGCAUGUUAUUAUCGACUCGAUUAUGCUUGCUGAUCGAUCAGUUCCUAGUUCAUGAAAUGAAGUUGUUGAAUUUUGAUUCAACUUAGU